rnacentral:lncRNA from 1 species
AUGGCGGCCGCGCCACAAAAUGGCAGCCGGCGAGGCGCGGAGCGGGCCAGACCCCUCCCCUCCGCAGGGCGAUGCGAGCGUCCACGCCGCUCAGCACCGCGGUCGGGACCCCCGGCGGCCGGCCGCGUCCCGAGCCCGCCACGACGCCGCCUUUGUGCGGGUGCGGUGCCUCUGCUCUCCCGUCCGCGAGGCUUUUUGACUCAAAGCACCGAACUGCGUCCACCCGUCGGGCGACCCCCGCCCAGGACGCCCCUCGGGCCGGGCGCGCCCGCAGCGUUAGCUCCAGCUCGACCAAGUGAAGACGGGACCGGGGGGCUCAGCGGGCCGCUGCCCGACGCGGGGAACGCCAGGGGCAAGGCGCCCUACACGCCCCACGCCCGUGCUUCGGCGGCCACGCUGCGUCCUAACGUACUGAGCCCACUCGGGAGGGCAGCGAGGAGCCGGCAGAGGGCGGGUUUCGGCUCUCGUUCCACUUGCAAACUUCCAGCGAGCGCUCUAGGCUUCCCAUCGCUUCCCCGCGCCCUCUCCGCGCUCCUCGUCGUGAGGCCGCCCGGGGGCUGCGCACAGGCAGAGGAAGGAGCCGUCCCCGUGCUGUGUCCCCCCAGCGCGAGGGUCUCGGCGGGCGGGCGGGCGCGCGCUUCGCCUUGGCCAGGGCUCCGUGGCUGGAAGCAGGGCGCCCGUGAUGCGCUUUGCAUUUCUCGCCGGCUUUCACAAACGGUUGUUUCCCGGCGCGCCCCAUCCCCCAGCUUUCCUUUGGCUCCGUCUUUCCAGAAACUUCUUGGGGUAAACUCAGCAAAAAGCGACGGGCUCCGCCACCGCCUCCCUCCCAGCGCAUGCGCGGUGGGCGGGGCGGGGUGGGCCCCUUGGCGCGGGCGCGCGUCAGUGGGAGAGUGGGGUGUGCGCGCGCGUUCGCCGAGGGAGGGCGGGUCUCUCUCACAAUGCAGGGAACAGGUUUCCCCAUCCCCCACCGUUCCGUGGUCGCGCAAGCGCGUUGGGGGCACUCCCUUGGCCUUUGCGCCAACGGGGAAGGCGUGGGCCGCGAGGAGUCGCUCCGCGCGCCUGCGUGCUGGGCCGCCUCGGCUCUGCCGCACCCCUCGUAGCGUAGCUGAGGUGAAGCGACCCGGGGUGGCCGGCCUGUGUCGUACCCGCUGGUUUCCCCGUUGCCGCUCGUGGAACUCCAGCCCCUCGAGAGAUUUUGCUUCUGUGCCACGGGGUUACUGGAGACAGGCCUUCUCUUUGUGCCGAGGGGCCGAGGUCGAGCCGUGUGUCUCGCCGGCCGGCCUGGCGCUCCCGCGCCAUGUUGGGAACGGCUCCUGA